rnacentral:lncRNA from 1 species
UUUAAUUCUCCUUCCCAUCUCUUUCUUCUUCUCUAAAUUCAGAACCAUUUCAUGGAGAUUUAUAUUUACUUCAAAUUCCAGAUUUAAAUUCUCGUUCCCUUCACCCUCGAUUUCCCCCCAAAUUUAAGUUUGCCUUCUCUUUUUAGAUUUUUCUACAUUUACUUCAUCUGACUUAGCAAAAAUCUAUGUUGUUACUGAUCUUGAGCCAUCAUCAUCGGACCCAUAGACAACAUCUUUAAAGAGAAUUGUGGGGGUAGGUUUGUUUUGGUCAUGGAAAAUAUGGUCAGAGUCGUUGUGGCUGCGGGAAUUGUGUUCGGUGGAGUCGUGGCUGCAACUGCUGGUGAGCAACUACAGCGGAUUAGAGAAAUUGUCAGUGACCAAUUACGCCGGCGUGGACACCACCUCCGCCUUAUUCGUAGUGGUGGUUCUUGCGUUUCGUGGUCGGGAGAAGUGUGGUUGAGUGAAAAGUGGUUGGGUGACACGUCGGUCGGUGAAACUUGGCUUGGUGAUAAGUGGUUGUUGGUGAGAUGUGGUUAGGGUCUGUGUUCAUAUGGUCAUAGGUGCAAGACUCCUCCUUCCCUGAAAGUGAUGUUUGUGAGGUGAAGCAGAUAAAUGUAUGUUAAUUCUUGCUAUUUUUUCUUGGUCACCUAUGUUCUUGAUUUCAAUUUCAUCCAUAUCAUCCAAUUUUCGCCGCCACGUUUAUAGAAACCAUGAGACACCUUUGCUUCUUCUUAACCAUGGAAAUAAAAUCAAUGCUUAAGUUCCAUAAGUCUACUGAACAAAGAGAUAUAUAAUGAGUAAAGAGGGGAGAGAGAAGAAGAAGAAGAGACAUUGUUAACAUCAGAUAAGUUGGAGAGAGUGAAGGAAAGAAGGGAGGCGGAAGAGACGGAGGGAGUGAUUGGAGAGAGAAGAUGCAUUGUUUGGUUAUGUUUAGGUUAAGGGCUUUUUAGGUAUUUCGAAAGAAGAAAGUACCUGACCAGUUCAAAGUAUGUGUAAAUGUAAAAGGAGAAAGAAAAAGUAUGUCUUGAUGUAAAUUUUUCGAUUAUAUACCAUGUACGUAUAAAUUAAUUAUCACUAUGUUUCUUUGAACUUGUUUUUAAAUUAUGUUAUUUGUAUCAACAUGAUAUUGUAAGUAUUUUGCAAGCAACACCAACUGAGA